rnacentral:rRNA from 2 species
GCGAACGCUGGCGGCGUGCUUAACACAUGCAAGUCGAACGGAAAGGCCCUUCGGGGUACUCGAGUGGCGAACGGGUGAGUAACACGUGGGUGAUCUGCCCUGCACUUUGGGAUAAGCCUGGGAAACUGGGUCUAAUACCGAAUAUGACCGCGCUCUUCAUGGGGUGUGGUGGAAAGCUUUUGCGGUGUGGGAUGGGCCCGCGGCCUAUCAGCUUGUUGGUGGGGUAAUGGCCUACCAAGGCGACGACGGGUAGCCGGCCUGAGAGGGUGACCGGCCACACUGGGACUGAGAUACGGCCCAGACUCCUACGGGAGGCAGCAGUGGGGAAUAUUGCACAAUGGGCGCAAGCCUGAUGCAGCGACGCCGCGUGAGGGAUGACGGCCUUCGGGUUGUAAACCUCUUUCAAUAGGGACGAAGCGCAAGUGACGGUACCUAUAGAAGAAGGACCGGCCAACUACGUGCCAGCAGCCGCGGUAAUACGUAGGGUCCGAGCGUUGUCCGGAAUUACUGGGCGUAAAGAGCUCGUAGGUGGUUUGUCGCGUUGUUCGUGAAAACUCACAGCUUAACUGUGGGCGUGCGGGCGAUACGGGCAGACUAGAGUACUGCAGGGGAGACUGGAAUUCCUGGUGUAGCGGUGGAAUGCGCAGAUAUCAGGAGGAACACCGGUGGCGAAGGCGGGUCUCUGGGCAGUAACUGACGCUGAGGAGCGAAAGCGUGGGGAGCGAACAGGAUUAGAUACCCUGGUAGUCCACGCCGUAAACGGUGGGUACUAGGUGUGGGUUUCCUUCCUUGGGAUCCGUGCCGUAGCUAACGCAUUAAGUACCCCGCCUGGGGAGUACGGCCGCAAGGCA